rnacentral:snRNA from 1 species
GUGCUUGCUUCGGCAGCACAUACACUAUAAUUGGAAGGACACAAAGAAGUUUAGCAUAGCCCCUGCACAAGGAUGACAUGCAAUUUUGUGUAGCAUCCCAUAUUGUU